rnacentral:rRNA from 1 species
GAUGAACGCUGGCGGCGUGCCUAAUACAUGCAAGUCGAGCGAACGGACGAGAAGCUUGCUUCUCUGAUGUUAGCGGCGGACGGGUGAGUAACACGUGGAUAACCUACCUAUAAGACUGGGAUAACUUCGGGAAACCGGAGCUAAUACCGGAUAUUAUUUUGAACCGCAUGGUUCAAAAGUGAAAGACGGUCUUGCUGUCACUUAUAGAUGUAUCCGCGCUGCAUUAGCUAGUUGGUAAGGUAACGGCUUACCAAGGCAACGAUGCAUAGCCGACCUGAGAGGGUGAUCGGCCACACUGGAACUGAGACACGGUCCAGACUCCUACGGGAGGCAGCAGUAGGGAAUCUUCCGCAAUGGGCGAAAGCCUGACGGAGCAACGCCGCGUGAGUGAUGAAGGUCUUCGGAUCGUAAAACUCUGUUAUUAGGGAAGAACAUAUGUGUAAGUAACUGUGCACAUCUUGACGGUACCUAAUCAGAAAGCCACGGCUAACUACGUG